CAGGGACCCACCACAGGAGGGCCCUCUAAGAGCUCCACCUGAAUCAAUUUGGCUGACAGAAAAACAACUCCUCAGUAACAGUUCCAUGAGGUCUC
ensembl:misc_RNA